rnacentral:rRNA from 1 species
GACCUGGUGGCUAUGGCGGGGUGUGUACCACCCGAUCCCAUCCCGAACUCGGACGUGAAAAACCCCAGCGCCUAUGAUACUGCGGCUUAAGUCGCGGGAAAGUCGGUCGCCGCCAGGUCU